rnacentral:sRNA from 1 species
GCUGGGCGUGGUGGUGCAUGCCUGUAAUCUCAAUGACUUGGGAGGCUGAGGCAGGAAGAUCACAAGUUCAAGGCCAUUGUUAGCAAUUUAGCAAGACCUAAAACAAUUUAGUGAAAACUGUCUCAA